rnacentral:rRNA from 1 species
AAAAACCCUUUUUUUUUAAAUGUAAAUAUUACCCAGGGUAGUAAAAGUAAGUUCUUGAAACCCAAAGAAUUUGGCGGUACUUUAUUCCUUUCAGAGGAACCUGUCCUGUAUUGAUAUUCCCACGAGGAUAAAUUACUUACUUUUGUAUACAUUUUGUAUACCUCCGUCAUAAGAGUAUCUUUUUAGAGUUAAUAUUCUAUUAAUACGAAAUAUAAUAUGUCAGGUCAAGGUGCAAUUUAUGGGUAAGUAGAGAUGGGUUACAAUAAAAAUAUUUAUACGGAUAAAUGAUGUUAAUUUCAUUUUGAAGGAGGAUUUGAAAGUAAAAUUAUUUUCUUGAUAUUUUGAUUUUGGCUCUAAAGUAUGCACACAUCGCCCGUCGCUCUUAUUUUAAAAUAAGAUAAGUCGUAACAUAGUAGGAGUACCGGAAGGUGUUCCUAGUA